CCUACGGGAGGCAGCAGUGAGGAAUAUUGGACAAUGGGCGCAAGCCUGAUCCAGCCAUGCCGCGUGCAGGAAGACGGUCCUAUGGAUUGUAAACUGCUUUUGUACGGGAAGAAACACUCCUACGUGUAGGAGCUUGACGGUACCGUAAGAAUAAGGAUCGGCUAACUCCGUGCCAGCAGCCGCGGUAAUACGGAGGAUCCAAGCGUUAUCCGGAAUCAUUGGGUUUAAAGGGUCCGUAGGCGGUUUAGUAAGUCAGUGGUGAAAGCCCAUCGCUCAACGAUGGAACGGCCAUUGAUACUGCUAGACUUGAAUUACUAGGAGGUAACUAGAAUAUGUAGUGUAGCGGUGAAAUGCUUAGAUAUUACAUGGAAUACCAAUUGCGAAGGCAGGUUACUACUAGUGGAUUGACGCUGAUGGACGAAAGCGUGGGGAGCGAACAGGAUUAGAUACCCUGGUAGUCCACGCCGUAAACGAUGGAUACUAGCUGUUCGGGGCAACCUGAGUGGCUAAGCGAAAGUGAUAAGUAUCCACCUGGGGAGUACGUUCGCAAGAAUGAAACUCAAAUGAAAUUGACGG
rnacentral:rRNA from 1 species